rnacentral:pre_miRNA from 1 species
GUGUUCCCUAGAAUUCCUCUGAACACUUCAUUAAGGAGGGAUGAUUUUCCGACUCCCUACUGAAGCGUUUGGGGGAACUCCCGGGUUCAU